AAUAAAGUCUACAAUUUUUCAGAAGUGGGAUAUUAUGGGAUAUUAAGUGGGACCACUCUUACAUAAUGUUCACCGAAUCGUCGUGAAUAUUUUUAACAGACGACGAUUGAGUGCUGCAGUGUGACAGCACCUUCUCGGUAAUGGGUCUUCCGACAGACGCAACCAUUUUGACAAAGACAAUCUGGUUUACAUGGGGAAAAACGGGAGUUCUACGUGACCGCUGUCCUGGACGUUUCCCACUAGAUCGUACCGCAUCAUAAAC